AGACAUCUGAAUCUUAGAAUUGAUCAUUUUAAUUAGUAGGGGUGGAUUUGGAAAUAUGAAGUUUUUGAGGAUGAUGAUCAUCGUCAUUUUAGCAUUACAUGCUUUUCCAUCAACCAUUCAAGCAAGAAUCGCAUUAACAGAAAAAGUGCAACGGAAACCUCCGAUGCCGUCACCGCCGCCGCCAAUAGCAAGGCCGGGUCCUCACAAUCGUCAAACAUAAUAAAACGCUCAAACUUGUACAACUAUUCAUGUCUUAAUUUUUUUUACUGCGAAAUAAAUUGGUGGAACAAAUGUUGUAUUUUCGACCAAUGUAUACUGCUACAUUACUUGCUCCUUGUAAUUAACCAA